GCCUCUCACAGUGCCGAGUCUC
rnacentral:misc_RNA from 1 species